rnacentral:lncRNA from 2 species
GAGAGUGGAAGUCAAGUCCCACAGGUGACCCAGCUAGAGAGAGUGUCCCCAGUCACAAUUGGAGUCUUAUGUAAGAAGAAAUAAGGAAAGCCUACUGGGUUGAAUCUAAAAGUAGAAAACUCAUAACAAGGCUAUGUGUGAACAUCAAGAGAGAAUUCAAGAUGGCGGGGAUGACACUCUUUAGUCCAUGUGUGCCUGGUUUUCAUCAUCUCCUUGACUUACACACAUGUGGGUGCCUUUACCUCUGAAGACUUUUUCUCUUCUAACUGAUGAUGCUCCAUUCUCUUCUGACAAAAGCUCCCUGCCAAGGCCUGAUUGAACCUCUGCCCUGUGGUUCCUUGAAACAUCGUCAUAUUCUUGUACUAAAUUCCCCAUUUUCUUAAGCUAGCUCUGGUAAGUUUUUGCCAUUUACAGUCAAAGUGAACUCACUAAUAAAAUAUUCCCAACUGCAUAA